rnacentral:rRNA from 1 species
GAUGAUGCUGGAGCUUGCUCCAGUUGAUUAGUGGCGAACGGGUGAGUAACACGUGAGCAAUCUGCCCUUGACUCUGGGAUAACUGCGGGAAACUGUAGCUAAUACCGGAUACUUUCACCGGAAGGCAUCUUCUGGUGAUGAAAGAAUUUCGGUCAGGGAUGAGCUCGCGGCCUAUCAGCUUGUUGGUGAGGUAACGGCUCACCAAGGCGACGACGGGUAACCGGCCUGAGAGGGUGACCGGUCACACUGGGACUGAGACACGGCCCAGACUCCUACGGGAGGCAGCAGUGGGGAAUAUUGCACAAUGGGCGCAAGCCUGAUGCAGCAACGCCGCGUGAGGGAUGAAGGCCUUCGGGUUGUAAACCUCUUUUAGCAGGGAAGAAGCGAAAGUGACGGUACCUGCAGAAAAAGCACCGGCUAACUACGUGCCAGCAGCCGCGGUAAUACGUAGGGUGCAAGCGUUGUCCGGAAUUAUUGGGCGUAAAGAGCUCGUAGGCGGUUUGUCACGUCUGCUGUGAAAAUCCAAGGCUCAACCUUGGACUUGCAGUGGGUACGGGCAGGCUAGAGUGCGGUAGGGGAGAUGGGAAUUCCUGGUGUAGCGGUGGAAUGCGCAGAUAUCAGGAGGAACACC